rnacentral:rRNA from 1 species
GACGAACGCUGGCGGCAUGCCUAAUACAUGCAAGUCGAGCGAACAGAUGAAGUGCUUGCACUUCUGACGUUAGCGGCGAACGGGUGAGUAACACGUAAGGAAUCUACCUAUAAACGGAGGAUAACAUUCGGAAACGGGUGCUAAUACCGCAUAAUAUCUUCUUCCGCAUGGAAGAAGAUUGAAAGACGGCUCUGCUGUCACUUAUAGACGACCUUGCGGUGCAUUAGUUAGUUGGUGGGGUAACGGCCUACCAAGACGAUGAUGCAUAGCCGACCUGAGAGGGUGAUCGGCCACAUUGGGACUGAGACACGGCUCAAACUCCUACGGGAGGCAGCAGUAGGGAAUCUUCCGCAAUGGGCGAAAGCCUGACGGAGCAAUGCCGCGUGAGUGAAGAAGGCCUUCGGGUCGUAAAACUCUGUUAUAAGAGAAGAACAAAUUGUAGAGUAACUGCUACAGUCUUGACGGUAUCUUAUCAGAAAGCCACGGCUAACUACGUGCCAGCCGCCGCCGUAA